rnacentral:lncRNA from 1 species
CUUGAGCACUGUAGCUGAACAAUGGGAAUUUAAAGAAAAAGUCUGAAUCUGGGAGGCAGAGGUUGCAGUGAGCCAAGGUCACGCCACUACACUCCAGCCUGCCCAACAGCACAAGACUCAUUCCAGCAUGUGUAAGUAUACACAAAGCACAUCUCAUUUUGGACUAGUCACAUUUCAAGUGCUCAAAAGCCACACGUGGCUAGUGGCUACCAUAAUGAACAGUGCAGAUGUAAAGCAGAGGUUGGCAAAUGUUUUCCGUAAAGGGCAAGAUAGUAAAUAUUUUAGGCCCUGCAGACCCAGAGGCAAAAUCAAAGAUAUUCUGUAGGUACUUAAAUAGCACUGUUUGCCUAGGGCGGGCUGCCCAGGGUUGUGGCUUUGCACC